GGACUACUGGGGUAUCUAAUCCUGUUUGCUCCCCACGCCUUCGCGCCUCAGCGUCAGUCUCGGUCCAGAGCGCCGCCUUCGCCACCGGUGUUCUUCCCAAUAUCUACGAAUUUCACCUCUACACUGGGAAUUCCACGCUCCUCUCCCGAACUCCAGCACCACAGUCUCGAGCGCAAUUCCCAGGUUGAGCCCGGGGCUUUCACACUCGACUUGCGGCGCCGCCUACGCGCCCUUUACGCCCAGUAAAUCCGAACAACGCUCGCCCCCUUCGUAUUACCGCGGCGGCUGGCAC
rnacentral:rRNA from 1 species